UACCAGGCCACCCUCUCUGUCUGGGGCCCUAGAGGGGUAAGUGUCCUUCUGAACCCACCUUGUCUCUUUCCUAUGCAAUGGGUGAGAACUUCUUUCUUCCUUGAGGGUCCAAACACCCUGUCCCCUGUUUAGCCCUGUGCCAGACAGAGGCCACACCUGCCACCCCCUCAGCGUGGCACGGUCCCCCUGCUCAACUUUCAGAGGUCCAUGAGAUGGGUACUGGGGGGCGGGAAUGAAACUUUCCAGACCUCUCACCUCCUGACACUGGCAUCAGAGCCCAGGCAAGGGCAGAAGGGUCUCGGGUGGGACACCUCAUCCAGACAAGCUCCAGAUCCCUGCUCCCUUCUCUGUCACUCUACAACAGAGCCCAGAAUCGUGAGUCGCUGUAGCACUGGGGGACACCCAGACAGAGCUUUCGCUGGACCAAGUCCUCCAGGAGCGGGAUGAAGCCAUUGCCAAGAAGCAGGCAGUGGAGGCUGAGCUGGACACAUGCAAAGCCAAGUUGCGAGCUGUGGAGGCCCAGCUGCUGGAGGUCCUGGAGGAGAAACUGAGGCUGAGGCAGGAGGUGGAGGCCUGGGAGGUAGGGUGGGAAUGCCAGCCGGGCCUGGGAGGCAUGGGGAAGAGGCACAGGGUCGGCCCUGAACCUGCUCUCCUGCCCCCCAGGAGGACAUGCGGCUACUGGUGAGACAGCAGGUCGAGAGUCAGCUGCAGAGAGAGUCCAGGGGCCCUCAGGGAGCCCCGGUGACCCCCAGAACUGCCAGGGCUCCCUGGGUCCGAUUCCUCCUGGGUCAGUGGGGACGCUGGCGGUGACAGAGCUCAGCCCGGGGGCUUGGGAGCAGUGUCUUUAUUCAUUAAAACUUGAGGUCUGACCCUUUGCACCCUCA